rnacentral:misc_RNA from 1 species
GAUGAAGAACGCAGCGAAAUGCGAUAAGUAGUGUGAAUUGCAGAAUUCAGUGAAUCAUCGAAUCUUUGAACGCACAUUGCGCCCCUUGGUAUCCCGAGGGGCAUGCCUGUUCGAGCGUCAUUUCACCACUCAAGCCUGGCUUGGUGUUGGGCGACGUCCCCUUUGGGGACGCGCCUCGAAACGCUCGGCGGCGUGGCACCGGCUUUAUGCGUAGCAGAAUCUUUCGCUUUGGAAGUCGGGGCCCCGUCUGCCGGAAGACCUACUCGCAAGGUUGACCUCGGAUCAGGCAGGGAUACCCGCUGAACUUAAGCAUAUCAAUAAGCGGAGGA